UUCUAAAAAUCAUGUUUUUGUUUCAUUUUAAAAUCAUACCCCAUCACCAUAAAAAAAAAAAAAAAAUUGAAUUAGAUACUACCAUGGUACACAAAUACCUAUAUAUUAGUGUAAUAGUGUUUAUUUUAUAAUAUUUAUUAUUAUAUCUAUGAAUCUAUCAAUAAAGAACCACAAAUACACUGUAUUAUACAGAUUUUAGAUUGGCUUGUGUACAAUUUUAAAAUGAUAAUUAUUGUAUGAUCGGUAGUCAAAGUUUUUUAAAAUUUGUAUUUACGCUUACAAUUAUAUAAAUAUAAAAAAAAUCAGUAAAAAUAUUUUUUGAUUAAAAAAAAAAAAAACUUCAGCGUAGUUUACAAUUAGGAAAAAUAAAAUUGAUAAUUAAUAAUUUAGGAAUAGUUUUUAAUAGUUUUAAUAAAGUUAAUGAAUAAACUAAUUACUAUUAUAUAGUGAAUACUAAAUAUUAUAAAUUAAAAUUCUUUAUUUAUUAAUUUUAUUUAAGACAUUUUUAUGAAAUGUAAAAUAGGUAUUUUGUAUAAUAAUAUAAAUGGUAUUUU